rnacentral:tRNA from 1 species
GAGCCUAUAGCUCAAGUGAUAGAGUGCAUGCUUAGCAUGCAUGGGAUUCCGGGUUCAAUCCCCAGUAACUCCU